rnacentral:rRNA from 1 species
GACGAGUUACUUAAUAAUAAAUUUAUCGACGUCAUAGGAUUGACAUGUUUCCAUCGUAUUAGUAAACAGAAAAAUAAUUUCAGACCUUACUUUCUAACUUACUUUAUUUUAGACAGAGUUUAAUUAAUUUUAAAUUUUAAAUAAAAUUCAUUUUUAAGAAUUUAAAUUAUUUUUCUGCUCUUCUGGGAUAUCUUAAAAUAUUAUAUUAUAAUACUUAAAUUAAUUUAUUUAUUGAUUAUUAUAAUUUAAUAAAAUAACCCCACUAUAUUUUUAAACUUUUUAAAAAAUAAAUUAGAAAUGUAAUAUUUACUUAAUAAAAUAGGUUAUAUUAACUUAUUUAUAAUUUAAUGGAAUCCCUAUUGUCGCAUUUUAAAAACCUCUCAAGUAUAACUAUUUUCAAAAACGCUGGAGCUACAACUUAAUUUUAUUUAAUAAUAACUUCUAUUAUUAUAU